rnacentral:misc_RNA from 1 species
CUUUUAGGGAGACCUCCCGCUGAUGAACGUGCAAGACAUGUUCAACCAGACGGUCAAUCCCAGGUCGUGCGGAAUAGUGAGCUUGACUUUCAAUCUUGUCUAACGAGGCAAAGACGAAUCGUUAGCAAUGGCUUAGCUUAAACUAGCUGAACAUUUGCUGACCAAAGCGUCAGCUAAAGCACCUCGACAACUACAUAGAGAAUCGUCAGGUAGAACAAAGAAACAUAAGACACCGAUAUUGCAGUUUGAGCAAUUGAAAU